rnacentral:rRNA from 1 species
UUAAGCGACUAAGCGUACACGGUGGAUGCCCUGGCAGUCAGAGGCGAUGAAGGACGUGCUAAUCUGCGAUAAGCGUCGGUAAGGUGAUAUGAACCGUUAUAACCGGCGAUUUCCGAAUGGGGAAACCCAGUGUGUUUCGACACACUAUCAUUAACUGAAUCCAUAGGUUAAUGAGGCGAACCGGGGGAACUGAAACAUCUAAGUACCCCGAGGAAAAGAAAUCAACCGAGAUUCCCCCAGUAGCGGCGAGCGAACGGGGAGCAGCCCAGAGCCUGAAUCAGUGUGUGUGUUAGUGGAAGCGUCUGGAAAGGCGCGCGAUACAGGGUGACAGCCCCGUACACAAAAAUGCACAUACUGUGAGCUCGAUGAGUAGGGCGGGACACGUGGUAUCCUGUCUGAAUAUGGGGGGACCAUCCUCCAAGGCUAAAUACUCCUGACUGACCGAUAGUGAACCAGUACCGUGAGGGAAAGGCGAAAAGAACCCCGGCGAGGGGAGUGAAAAAGAACCUGAAACCGUGUACGUACAAGCAGUGGGAGCCUCUUAAUGGGGUGACUGCGUACCUUUUGUAUAAUGGGUCAGCGACUUAUAUUCUGUAGCAAGGUUAACCGAAUAGGGGAGCCGAAGGGAAACCGAGUCUUAACUGGGCGUUAAGUUGCAGGGUAUAGACCCGAAACCCGGUGAUCUAGCCAUGGGCAGGUUGAAGGUUGGGUAACACUAACUGGAGGACCGAACCGACUAAUGUUGAAAAAUUAGCGGAUGACUUGUGGCUGGGGGUGAAAGGCCAAUCAAACCGGGAGAUAGCUGGUUCUCCCCGAAAGCUAUUUAGGUAGCGCCUCGUGAAUUCAUCUCCGGGGGUAGAGCACUGUUUCGGCAAGGGGGUCAUCCCGACUUACCAACCCGAUGCAAACUGCGAAUACCGGAGAAUGUUAUCACGGGAGACACACGGCGGGUGCUAACGUCCGUCGUGAAGAGGGAAACAACCCAGACCGCCAGCUAAGGUCCCAAAGUCAUGGUUAAGUGGGAAACGAUGUGGGAAGGCCCAGACAGCCAGGAUGUUGGCUUAGAAGCAGCCAUCAUUUAAAGAAAGCGUAAUAGCUCACUGGUCGAGUCGGCCUGCGCGGAAGAUGUAACGGGGCUAAACCAUGCACCGAAGCUGCGGCAGCGACACUAUGUGUUGUUGGGUAGGGGAGCGUUCUGUAAGCCUGUGAAGGUGUACUGUGAGGUAUGCUGGAGGUAUCAGAAGUGCGAAUGCUGACAUAAGUAACGAUAAAGCGGGUGAAAAGCCCGCUCGCCGGAAGACCAAGGGUUCCUGUCCAACGUUAAUCGGGGCAGGGUGAGUCGACCCCUAAGGCGAGGCCGAAAGGCGUAGUCGAUGGGAAACAGGUUAAUAUUCCUGUACUUGGUGUUACUGCGAAGGGGGGACGGAGAAGGCUAUGUUGGCCGGGCGACGGUUGUCCCGGUUUAAGCGUGUAGGCUGGUUUUCCAGGCAAAUCCGGAAAAUCAAGGCUGAGGCGUGAUGACGAGGCACUACGGUGCUGAAGCAACAAAUGCCCUGCUUCCAGGAAAAGCCUCUAAGCAUCAGGUAACAUCAAAUCGUACCCCAAACCGACACAGGUGGUCAGGUAGAGAAUACCAAGGCGCUUGAGAGAACUCGGGUGAAGGAACUAGGCAAAAUGGUGCCGUAACUUCGGGAGAAGGCACGCUGAUAUGUAGGUGAAGUCCCUUGCGGAUGGAGCUGAAAUCAGUCGAAGAUACCAGCUGGCUGCAACUGUUUAUUAAAAACACAGCACUGUGCAAACACGAAAGUGGACGUAUACGGUGUGACGCCUGCCCGGUGCCGGAAGGUUAAUUGAUGGGGUUAGCGGUAACGCGAAGCUCUUGAUCGAAGCCCCGGUAAACGGCGGCCGUAACUAUAACGGUCCUAAGGUAGCGAAAUUCCUUGUCGGGUAAGUUCCGACCUGCACGAAUGGCGUAAUGAUGGCCAGGCUGUCUCCACCCGAGACUCAGUGAAAUUGAACUCGCUGUGAAGAUGCAGUGUACCCGCGGCAAGACGGAAAGACCCCGUGAACCUUUACUAUAGCUUGACACUGAACAUUGAGCCUUGAUGUGUAGGAUAGGUGGGAGGCUUUGAAGUGUGGACGCCAGUCUGCAUGGAGCCGGCCUUGAAAUACCACCCUUUAAUGUUUGAUGUUCUAACGUUGGCCCCUGAUCGGGGUUGCGGACAGUGUCUGGUGGGUAGUUUGACUGGGGCGGUCUCCUCCUAAAGAGUAACGGAGGAGCACGAAGGUUGGCUAAUCCUGGUCGGACAUCAGGAGGUUAGUGCAAUGGCAUAAGCCAGCUUGACUGCGAGCGUGACGGCGCGAGCAGGUGCGAAAGCAGGUCAUAGUGAUCCGGUGGUUCUGAAUGGAAGGGCCAUCGCUCAACGGAUAAAAGGUACUCCGGGGAUAACAGGCUGAUACCGCCCAAGAGUUCAUAUCGACGGCGGUGUUUGGCACCUCGAUGUCGGCUCAUCACAUCCUGGGGCUGAAGUAGGUCCCAAGGGUAUGGCUGUUCGCCAUUUAAAGUGGUACGCGAGCUGGGUUUAGAACGUCGUGAGACAGUUCGGUCCCUAUCUGCCGUGGGCGCUGGAGAACUGAGGGGGGCUGCUCCUAGUACGAGAGGACCGGAGUGGACGCAUCACUGGUGUUCGGGUUGUCAUGCCAAUGGCACUGCCCGGUAGCUAAAUGCGGAAGAGAUAAGUGCUGAAAGCAUCUAAGCACGAAACUUGCCCCGAGAUGAGUUCUCCCUGACUCUUUGAGGGUCCUGAAGGAACGUUGAAGACGACGACGUUGAUAGGCCGGGUGUGUAAGCGCAGCGAUGCGUUGAGCUAACCGGUACUAAUGAACCGUGAGGCUUAACCUU